CACUAUCGUUAACUGAAUACAUAGGUUAACGAGGCGAACCGGGGGAACUGAAACAUCUAAGUACCCCGAGGAAAAGAAAUCAACCGAGAUUCCCCCAGUAGCGGCGAGCGAACGGGGAGCAGCCCAGAGUCUGAAUCAGCUUGUGUGUUAGUGGAACGGUCUGGAAAGUCCGACGGUACAGGGUGAUAGUCCCGUACACCAAAAUGCACAGGUUGUGAACUCGAAGAGUAGGGCGGGACACGUGGUAUCCUGUCUGAAUAUGGGGGGACCAUCCUCCAAGGCUAAAUACUCCUGACUGACCGAUAGUGAACCAGUACCGUGAGGGAAAGGCGAAAAGAACCCCGGCGAGGGGAGUGAAAAAGAACCUGAAACCGUGUACGUACAAGCAGUGGGAGCACCUUCGGGUGUGACUGCGUACCUUUUGUAUAAUGGGUCAGCGACUUAUAUUCUGUAGCAAGGUUAACCGUAUAGGGGAGCCGCAGGGAAACCGAGUCUUAACUGGGCGUUAAGUUGCAGGGUAUAGACCCGAAACCCGGUGAUCUAGCCAUGGGCAGGUUGAAGGUUGGGUAACACUAACUGGAGGACCGAACCGACUAAUGUUGAAAAAUUAGCGGAUGACUUGUGGCUGGGGGUGAAAGGCCAAUCAAACCGGGAGAUAGCUGGUUCUCCCCGAAAGCUAUUUAGGUAGCGCCUCGUGAACUCAUCUUCGGGGGUAGAGCACUGUUUCGGCUAGGGGGUCAUCCCGACUUACCAACCCGAUGCAAACUACGAAUACCGAAGAAUGUUAUCACGGGAGACACACGGCGGGUGCUAACGUCCGUCGUGAAGAGGGAAACAACCCAGACCGCCAGCUAAGGUCCCAAAGUCAUGGUUAAGUGGGAAACGAUGUGGGAAGGCACAGACAGCCAGGAUGUUGGCUUAGAAGCAGCCAUCAUUUAAAGAAAGCGUAAUAGCUCACUGGUCGAGUCGGCCUGCGCGGAAGAUGUAACGGGGCUAAACCAUGCACCGAAGCUGCGGCAGCGACACUAUGUGUUGUUGGGUAGGGGAGCGUUCUGUAAGCCUGCGAAGGUGACCUGUGAGGGUUGCUGGAGGUAUCAGAAGUGCGAAUGCUGACAUAAGUAACGAUAAAGCGGGUGAAAAGCCCGCUCGCCGGAAGACCAAGGGUUCCUGUCCAACGUUAAUCGGGGCAGGGUGAGUCGACCCCUAAGGCGAGGCCGAAAGGCGUAGUCGAUGGGAAACAGGUUAAUAUUCCUGUACUUGGUGUUACUGCGAAGGGGGGACGGAGAAGGCUAUGUUAGCCGGGCGACGGUUGUCCCGGUUUAAGCAUGUAGGCUGGUUGUCCAGGCAAAUCCGGAUAAUCAAGGCUGAGGUGUGAUGACGAGGCACUACGGUGCUGAAGUAACAAAUGCCCUGCUUCCAGGAAAAGCCUCUAAGCAUCAGGUAACAU
rnacentral:rRNA from 1 species